rnacentral:rRNA from 1 species
GGGUUGUGAGGUUAAGCGACUAAGCGUACACGGUGGAUGCCCUGGCAGUCAGAGGCGAUGAAGGACGUGCUAAUCUGCGAUAAGCGUCGGUAAGGUGAUAUGAACCGUUAUAACCGGCGAUUUCCGAAUGGGGAAACCCAGUGUGAUUCGUCACACUAUCAUUAACUGAAUCCAUAGGUUAAUGAGGCGAACCGGGGGAACUGAAACAUCUAAGUACCCCGAGGAAAAGAAAUCAACCGAGAUUCCCCCAGUAGCGGCGAGCGAACGGGGAGCAGCCCAGAGCCUGAAUCAGUGUGUGUGUUAGUGGAAGCGUCUGGAAAGGCGCGCGAUACAGGGUGACAGCCCCGUACACAAAAAUGCACAUGCUGUGAGCUCGAUGAGUAGGGCGGGACACGUGGUAUCCUGUCUGAAUAUGGGGGGACCAUCCUCCAAGGCUAAAUACUCCUGACUGACCGAUAGUGAACCAGUACCGUGAGGGAAAGGCGAAAAGAACCCCGGCGAGGGGAGUGAAAAAGAACCUGAAACCGUGUACGUACAAGCAGUGGGAGCACGCUUAGGCGUGUGACUGCGUACCUUUUGUAUAAUGGGUCAGCGACUUAUAUUCUGUAGCAAGGUUAACCGAAUAGGGGAGCCGAAGGGAAACCGAGUCUUAACUGGGCGUUAAGUUGCAGGGUAUAGACCCGAAACCCGGUGAUCUAGCCAUGGGCAGGUUGAAGGUUGGGUAACACUAACUGGAGGACCGAACCGACUAAUGUUGAAAAAUUAGCGGAUGACUUGUGGCUGGGGGUGAAAGGCCAAUCAAACCGGGAGAUAGCUGGUUCUCCCCGAAAGCUAUUUAGGUAGCGCCUCGUGAAUUCAUCUCCGGGGGUAGAGCACUGUUUCGGCAAGGGGGUCAUCCCGACUUACCAACCCGAUGCAAACUGCGAAUACCGGAGAAUGUUAUCACGGGAGACACACGGCGGGUGCUAACGUCCGUCGUGAAGAGGGAAACAACCCAGACCGCCAGCUAAGGUCCCAAAGUCAUGGUUAAGUGGGAAACGAUGUGGGAAGGCCCAGACAGCCAGGAUGUUGGCUUAGAAGCAGCCAUCAUUUAAAGAAAGCGUAAUAGCUCACUGGUCGAGUCGGCCUGCGCGGAAGAUGUAACGGGGCUAAACCAUGCACCGAAGCUGCGGCAGCGACGCUUAUGCGUUGUUGGGUAGGGGAGCGUUCUGUAAGCCUGUGAAGGUGUACUGUGAGGUAUGCUGGAGGUAUCAGAAGUGCGAAUGCUGACAUAAGUAACGAUAAAGCGGGUGAAAAGCCCGCUCGCCGGAAGACCAAGGGUUCCUGUCCAACGUUAAUCGGGGCAGGGUGAGUCGACCCCUAAGGCGAGGCCGAAAGGCGUAGUCGAUGGGAAACAGGUUAAUAUUCCUGUACUUGGUGUUACUGCGAAGGGGGGACGGAGAAGGCUAUGUUGGCCGGGCGACGGUUGUCCCGGUUUAAGCGUGUAGGCUGGUUUUCCAGGCAAAUCCGGAAAAUCAAGGCUGAGGCGUGAUGACGAGGCACUACGGUGCUGAAGCAACAAAUGCCCUGCUUCCAGGAAAAGCCUCUAAGCAUCAGGUAACAUCAAAUCGUACCCCAAACCGACACAGGUGGUCAGGUAGAGAAUACCAAGGCGCUUGAGAGAACUCGGGUGAAGGAACUAGGCAAAAUGGUGCCGUAACUUCGGGAGAAGGCACGCUGAUAUGUAGGUGAAGUCCCUCGCGGAUGGAGCUGAAAUCAGUCGAAGAUACCAGCUGGCUGCAACUGUUUAUUAAAAACACAGCACUGUGCAAACACGAAAGUGGACGUAUACGGUGUGACGCCUGCCCGGUGCCGGAAGGUUAAUUGAUGGGGUUAGCGCAAGCGAAGCUCUUGAUCGAAGCCCCGGUAAACGGCGGCCGUAACUAUAACGGUCCUAAGGUAGCGAAAUUCCUUGUCGGGUAAGUUCCGACCUGCACGAAUGGCGUAAUGAUGGCCAGGCUGUCUCCACCCGAGACUCAGUGAAAUUGAACUCGCUGUGAAGAUGCAGUGUACCCGCGGCAAGACGGAAAGACCCCGUGAACCUUUACUAUAGCUUGACACUGAACAUUGAGCCUUGAUGUGUAGGAUAGGUGGGAGGCUUUGAAGUGUGGACGCCAGUCUGCAUGGAGCCGACCUUGAAAUACCACCCUUUAAUGUUUGAUGUUCUAACGUGGACCCGUGAUCCGGGUUGCGGACAGUGUCUGGUGGGUAGUUUGACUGGGGCGGUCUCCUCCUAAAGAGUAACGGAGGAGCACGAAGGUUGGCUAAUCCUGGUCGGACAUCAGGAGGUUAGUGCAAUGGCAUAAGCCAGCUUGACUGCGAGCGUGACGGCGCGAGCAGGUGCGAAAGCAGGUCAUAGUGAUCCGGUGGUUCUGAAUGGAAGGGCCAUCGCUCAACGGAUAAAAGGUACUCCGGGGAUAACAGGCUGAUACCGCCCAAGAGUUCAUAUCGACGGCGGUGUUUGGCACCUCGAUGUCGGCUCAUCACAUCCUGGGGCUGAAGUAGGUCCCAAGGGUAUGGCUGUUCGCCAUUUAAAGUGGUACGCGAGCUGGGUUUAGAACGUCGUGAGACAGUUCGGUCCCUAUCUGCCGUGGGCGCUGGAGAACUGAGGGGGGCUGCUCCUAGUACGAGAGGACCGGAGUGGACGCAUCACUGGUGUUCGGGUUGUCAUGCCAAUGGCACUGCCCGGUAGCUAAAUGCGGAAGAGAUAAGUGCUGAAAGCAUCUAAGCACGAAACUUGCCCCGAGAUGAGUUCUCCCUGACUCCUUGAGAGUCCUGAAGGAACGUUGAAGACGACGACGUUGAUAGGCCGGGUGUGUAAGCGCAGCGAUGCGUUGAGCUAACCGGUACUAAUGAACCGUGAGGCUUAACCUUACAACGCCGAAG